AUGUUUGUUGAAAGAAUAGGGAUAAAAAUAUGGCUCCCUGCAGAAGGCCCUGGGGUUGGUAGGGCAGCUGGUAGAGGAGUACCAGCUGGUGUGCCAAUUCCCCAGGCCCCUGCUGGAUUAGCAGGCCCUGUCCGAGGAGUUGGGGGCCCGUCCCAGCAGGUAAUGACUCCACAGGGAAGAGGCACUGUAGCAGCUGCUGCUGUUGCUGCGACUGCCAGCAUUGCUGGAGCCCCAACACAGAACCCACCAGGACGGGGGGCUCCGCCCCCACCUGUCGGGAGAGCAAUCCCGCCUCCAGGUAUUAUGGCUCCUCCACCUGGUGUGAGACCACCCAUGGGCCCACCAAUUGGGCUUCCCCCUGUUCGAGGGACGCCAAUAGAUAUGCCCCCUCCAGGAAUGAGACCCCCUCCACCAGGCAUUAAAGGUCCACCUCCCCCAGGAAUGCAUCCACCAAGACCCUAGCAUACUGUUGAUCCAUCUCAGUCUCUCUCUCUCCCCAGCAAUGUGUCUUCUGAAAUUGUGUAGAGUGUUUGUGAGCUUUUUGUCCCCUUGUUCUGCAUUAAUAAUAGCUAAUAAUAAAUUCAUAGAGCAAUUUAAAAAAUGUG